UUGACCUCGGAUCAGGUAGGGAUACCCGCUGAACUUAAGCAUAUCAAUAAGCGGAGGAAAAGAAACCAACAGGGAUUACCUCAGUAACGGCGAGUGAAGCGGUAACAGCUCAAAUUUGAAAUCUGGCUCUUUUAGGGCCCGAGUUGUAAUUUGUAGAAGAUGCUUUGGGUGUGGCUCCAGUCUAAGUUCCUUGGAACAGGACGUCAUAGAGGGUGAGAAUCCCGUAUGUGACUGGUGGCUUUCGCCCGUGUAAAGCUCUUUCGACGAGUCGAGUUGUUUGGGAAUGCAGCUCAAAAUGGGUGGUAAAUUUCAUCUAAAGCUAAAUAUUGGCCAGAGACCGAUAGCGCACAAGUAGAGUGAUCGAAAGAUGAAAAGCACUUUGGAAAGAGAGUUAAACAGUACGUGAAAUUGUUGAAAGGGAAGCGCUUGCAACCAGACUCGUAUGCUGCUGAUCAUCCGGGGUUCUCCUCGGUGCACUCGGCAGUCUUCGGGCCAGCAUCGGUUUGGGUGGUAGGAUAAAGACCUUAGGAAUGUAGCUUCUCUCGGGGAGUGUUAUAGCCUUCGGUGCAAUGCUGCCUGCCUAGACCGAGGACCGCGCUUCGGCUAGGAUGC
rnacentral:rRNA from 2 species